UAUUUUGUCGCGCCCAUUCCAGGUACUUCCUUUAUGCCCUCGUCAUGUUUUCCAUUAAACCUCUAUGUUUGCUUUCGUUUCUUGAUGCAUAUGUUGUUGUGGCUUUGAUCAUUUUUGUCAAAUUUGUUGUGGUUUCUGUCGUUCUUGAAGAGGCAAAGUAUGUUAGCUUUUAUUUCAAUGUUUGAUCAUUUUUUAUCAAAUAUGCUAUGAACUUUUUUUNNN
rnacentral:lncRNA from 1 species